rnacentral:rRNA from 1 species
GAUGAACGCUGGCGGCGUGCCUAAUACAUGCAAGUCGAGCGAACAGACGAGGAGCUUGCUCCUCUGACGUUAGCGGCGGACGGGUGAGUAACACGUGGAUAACCUACCUAUAAUACUGGGAUAACUUCGGGAAACCGGCGCUAAUAGCGGAUAAUAUAUUGAACCGCAUGGUUCAAUGGUGAAAGACGGUUUUGCUGUCACUUAUAGAUGGAUCCGCGCCGCAUUAGCUAGUUGGUAAGGUAACGGCUUACCAAGGCAACGAUGCGUAGCCGACCUGAGAGGGUGAUCGGCCACACUGGAGCUGAGACACGGUCCAGACUCCUACGGGAGGCAGCAGUAGGGAAUCUUCCGCAAUGGGCGAAAGCUUGACGGAGCAACGCCGCGUGAGUGAUGAAGGUCUUCGGAGCGUAAAACUCUGUUAUUAGGGAAGAACAAAUGUGUAAGUAACUAUGCACGUCUUGACGGUACCUAAUCAGAAAGCCACGGCUAACUACGUG